GGGGUUGUGGCUCAGUGGUAGAGUGCUCGCCUAAAAUGCUUGAUGGACUGAGUUCGAUCCUCAGCACCACA
rnacentral:tRNA from 1 species